GAUGAAGAACGUAGCAAAAUGCGAUAAGUAAUGUGAAUUGCAGAAUUCAGUGAAUCAUCGAAUCUUUGAACGCACAUUGCGCCCUCUGGUAUUCCGGAGGGCAUGCCUGUUCGAGCGUCAUUUCGACCCUCAAGCAUUGCUUGGUGUUGGGGCACCGCCUGUAAAAGGGCGGGCCCUGAAAUCUAGUGGCGAGCUCGCCAGGACCCCGAGCGUAGUAAUUAUAUUUCGUUCUGGAAGGCCCUGGCGGUGCCCUGCCGUUAAACCCCCAACUUCUGAAAAUUUGACCUCGGAUCAGGUAGGAAUACCCGCUGAACUUAAGCAUAUCAAUAAGCGGAGGA
rnacentral:misc_RNA from 1 species